GCAGAUAUGGCCGAGUGGUUAAGGCGACUGACUCGAAAUCAGAUUUCCAUCUUGGAGCGUAGGUUCGAAUCCUACUAUCUGCG
rnacentral:tRNA from 1 species